rnacentral:rRNA from 1 species
UACGUAGGGUGCGAGCGUUAAUCGGAAUUACUGGGCGUAAAGCGUGCGCAGGCGGUUGGUUAAGUCCGAUGUGAAAGCCCCGGGCUCAACCUGGGAAUGGCAUUGGAAACUGGCUAGCUGGAGUGUGGCAGAGGGGGGUGGAAUUCCGCGUGUAGCAGUGAAAUGCGUAGAGAUGCGGAGGAACACCGAUGGCGAAGGCAGCCCCCUGGGCCAACACUGACGCUCAGGCACGAAAGCGUGGGGAGCAAACAGG